rnacentral:rRNA from 1 species
CCUGACUGCUAUCGGAUUGAUACUAAGCCAUGCGAGUCAUUGUAGCAAUACAAGGCAUACGGCUCAGUAACGCGUAGUCAACCUAACCUAUGGACGGGAAUAACCUCGGGAAACUGAGAAUAAUGCCCGAUAGAACACUAUACCUGGAAUGGUUUGUGUUCCAAAUGAUUUAUCGCCAUAGGAUGGGACUGCGGCCUAUCAGUUUGUUGGUGAGGUAAUGGCCCACCAAGACUAUUACAGGUACGGGCUCUGAGAGGAGUAGCCCGGAGAUGGGUACUGAGACACGGACCCAGGCCCUAUGGGGCGCAGCAGGCGAGAAAACUUUGCAAUGUGCGAAAGCACGACAAGGUUAAUCCGAGUGAUUUGUGCUAAACGAAUCUUUUGUUAGUCCUAGAAACACUAACGAAUAAGGGGUGGGCAAGUUCUGGUGUCAGCCGCCGCGGUAAAACCAGCACCUCAAGUGGUCAGGAUGAUUAUUGGGCCUAAAGCAUCCGUAGCCGGCUCUGUAAGUUUUCGGUUAAAUCUGUACGCUUAACGUACAGGCUGCCGGGAAUACUGCAGAGCUAGGGAGUGGGAGAGGUAGACGGUACUCGGUAGGAAGUGGUAAAAUGCUUUGAUCUAUCGAUGACCACCUGUGGCGAAGGCGGUCUACCAGAACACGUCCGGCGGUGAGGGAUGAAAGCUGGGGGAGCAAACCGGAUUAGAUACCCGGGUAGUCCCAGCUGUAAACUAUGCAAACUCAGUGAUGCAUUGGCUUGUGGCCAAUGCAGUGCUGCAGGGAAGCCGUUAAGUUUGCCGCCUGGGAAGUACGUACGCAAGUAUGAAACUUAAAGGAAUUGGCGGGGGAGCACCACAAGGGGUGAAGCCUGCGGUUC